rnacentral:lncRNA from 1 species
CCAGGGGGUCCCAUCCCAGGGAAGGAUGGUGUCAUGUGUGCAGGACAGGACCAAAGGCUGAGGUGGAGAUGCUGUCCAUCGUGUGUUUUGGGUGAAUCUGCUGGGUGUGAGAAGUGACAUCCCCUCCCCAGCGAUGUAUGUUUUCAGGAACAACAGCCAGUGCUGAGCAGUGGAGGCUGGGCUGAGCCUGGGGUUGUUUUCACUGUGUGUUUCUGAGAAGAGCCACACUGUCAACAGCGUUGUCCUCAGAGAGCCCUAAUCAAUGUGUCCUCAGCACAGGGACCUUGGCAGAGGCGAGGCCAGGCAGACGGGGGUGGAGCAAGCUUUGGGGGCACUGUGCACCACCCCAUCUUACACGUGGCACGUGCUUCUCGUGGACGACGUGGCAUCCAUUGUGAACAGCACUGAAUGCCAGUGUGAGGGGAGCUGCGGGGAGGCUCUGACCCAAAGAGGGCUUGGCCUGUACCGCACUGCCCCCAGCAACUGAAUACGUGACUGAAUCAGUGAGCACGUGGAUACAUGACAGCCAGAUGGGUGAGUGGAUGAAAGGAGUGUUCAGCACUUUGCAGCAGAGAGGGCUCAGCAAACCAGAGCUCCUGCUUGCCCAAAGAGCACGCUGCCGUCCACGCACAGAGCUCUGGCCGGCUGGGUUCAUCGUCCUGGGGGUGAGCUCUCCCUCCAUUUAGGCUCUGUGCCCAGCCUGCCUGGAAAGAUUUUCCUCUGUUAUUUCCCUCUCUCUGUCCCCACCUUUGUCCCCAGGGUCCCUCCCUGCAGUGAGCUGUGAGAGCAGGAGCCCCUGUCAGCCAUGGUUCAUGUGGAUGCCUGGCUCUGGCUCCAGGUCUGGCUCCGGCUUCAGCCUGUGAUUUUUGUGGCAGUGCCUCUUCAGCAGCUUUAAGUG